GUUACUAUAGUAUAAUAAGUAUGUUUGUUUUAAGAUCAAUUGGUAAGAGAUAUUGUAA
rnacentral:tRNA from 1 species